UGAAUAGAUGUGAUUUGG
rnacentral:miRNA from 1 species